rnacentral:rRNA from 1 species
CCUACGGGAGGCAGCAGUGGGGAAUAUUGGGCAAUGGACGCAAGUCUGACCCAGCAACGCCGCGUGAAGGAAGAAGGCUUUCGGGUUGUAAACUUCUUUUAAGGGGGAAGAGCAGAAGACGGUACCCCUUGAAUAAGCAUCGGCUAACUCCGUGCCAGCAGCCGCGGUAAUACGGAGGAUGCGAGCGUUAUCCGGAUUUAUUGGGUUUAAAGGGUGCGCAGGCGGCGAGUUAAGUCAGCGGUAAAAUUUCGGGGCUCAACCCCGACGAGCCGUUGAAACUGGCUUGCUAGAGUGGGCGAGAAGUAUGCGGAAUGCGUGGUGUAGCGGUGAAAUGCAUAGAUAUCACGCAGAACUCCGAUUGCGAAGGCAGCAUACCGGCGCCCAACUGACGCUCAGGCACGAAAGCGUGGGUAUCGAACAGGAUUAGAUACCCCUGUAGUC